rnacentral:rRNA from 1 species
CGGGUGAGUAAUGUCUGGGAAACUGCCUGAUGGAGGGGGAUAACUACUGGAAACGGUAGCUAAUACCGCAUAACGUCGCAAGACCAAAGAGGGGGACCUUCGGGCCUCUUGCCAUCAGAUGUGCCCAGAUGGGAUUAGCUAGUAGGUGGGGUAACGGCUCACCUAGGUGACGAUCCCUAGCUGGUCUGAGAGGAUGACCAGCCACACUGGAACUGAGACACGGUCCAGACUCCUACGGGAGGCAGCAUG